UGAGGAAUAUUGGUCAAUGGACGGAAGUCUGAACCAGCCAUGCCGCGUGAAGGAUGAAGGCGUUCUGCGUUGUAAACUUCUUUUAUUGGGGAAGAAACCUGGAUAUUCUUAUUCAGCCGACGGUACCCAAGGAAUAAGCACCGGCUAACUCCGUGCCAGCAGCCGCGGUAAUACGGAGGGUGCAAGCGUUAUCCGGAUUUACUGGGUUUAAAGGGUGUGUAGGCGGAUUAUUAAGUCAGUGGUGAAAUCUCCGGGCUCAACCCGGAAACUGCCAUUGAUACUAUUAGUCUUGAAUGUUGUGGAGGUGGGCGGAACGGGUCAUGUAGCGGUGAAAUGCAUAGAUAUGACCCGGAACACCGAUUGCGAAGGCAGCCCGCUACGCAACGAUUGACGCUGAGGCACGAAAGCGUGGGGAUCAAAACAGGAUUAGAUACCCUGGUAGUCCACGCCCUAAACGAUGAUUACUCGACGUGUGCGAUACACUGUACGCGUCCAAGCGAAAGCAUUAAGUAAUCCACCUGGGAAGUACGUUCGCAAGAAUGAAACUCAAAGGAAUUGACGGGGUCAUAGCUG
rnacentral:rRNA from 1 species